rnacentral:rRNA from 1 species
GAUGAACGCUGGCGGCGUGCCUAAUACAUGCAAGUCGAGCGAACGGACGAGAAGCUUGCUUCUCUGAGGUUAUCGGCGGACGGGUGAGUAACACGUGGAUAACCUACCUAUAAGACUGGGAUAACUUCGGGAAACCGGAGCUAAUACCGGAUAAUAUUUUGAACCGCAUGGUUCAAAAGUUGAAGACGGUCUUGCUGUCACUUAUAGAUGGAUCCGCGCUGCAUUAGCUAGUUGGUAAGGUAACGGCUUACCAAGGCAACGAUGCAUAGCCGACCUGAGAGGGUGAUCGGCCACACUGGAACUGAGGCACGGUCCAGACUCCUACGGGAGGGAGCAGUACGGAAUCUUCCGCAAUGGGCGAAAGCCUGACGGAGCAACGCCGCGUGAGUGAUGAAGGUCUUCGGAUCGUAAAACUCUGUUAUUAGGGAAGAAGAUAUGUGUAAUUAACUGUGCACAUCUUGACGGUACCUAAUCAGAAAGCCCCGGCUAACUACGUG